rnacentral:miRNA from 1 species
UGUCUAUCAUACAGGUGUGUUGGCUGUGUAUGUGUGGGGAUUCUUCAACACACACACACACACACACACACACACACACACACACACACACACA